rnacentral:tRNA from 1 species
GCCCAGGUGGAGGAACUGGCAGACUCGCAUCUUUGAGGGGGAUGUGGCGCAAGCCGUGCGGGUUCGAAUCCCGCCCUGGGCA